AUUGAACGCUGGCGGAAUGCUUUACACAUGCAAGUCGAACGGUAGAGGGGGCAACCCCUUGAGAGUGGCGAACGGGUGAGUAAUAUAUCGGAACGUGCCCAGUCGUGGGGGAUAACGUAGCGAAAGCUACGCUAAUACCGCAUACGAUCUAUGGAUGAAAGCGGGGGGAUCGCAAGACCUCGCGCGAUUGGAGCGGCCGAUAUCAGAUUAGGUAGUUGGUGAGGUAAAGGCUCACCAAGCCGACGAUCUGUAGCUGGUCUGAGAGGACGACCAGCCACACUGGGACUGAGACACGGCCCAGACUCCUACGGGAGGCAGCAGUGGGGAAUUUUGGACAAUGGGCGCAAGCCUGAUCCAGCAAUGCCGCGUGCAGGAUGAAGGCC
rnacentral:rRNA from 1 species